rfam:Brachypodium distachyon strain Bd21 chromosome 3, whole genome shotgun sequence.
UUGGUAUUCCCUCCGUCCAACAAAAGAUGUCUCAAGUUUGUCAAAAUUUGGAUGUAUCUAGACAUGACUCUUACUGUAUAGAUGCAUUCAAAUUUAGUCAAAGUUGAGACAUCCUUUGUUGGACGGAGGAAGUACAUA